AGUCCAUGUUAUGGACAUCUUUGAAAUAAUUUUCUAAACCGUUCCCAAGUUGCAUACAACGAUUCAUCAUCGAAUUGACUAAAACUAGUAAUAUCUAUUUUAAGUUU